rnacentral:rRNA from 1 species
CCGAAAGGGAGAUUAAUACCGCAUAAUAAUCAGUUUUCACAUGGAGAUUGAUUUAAAGGAGUAAUCCGCUUUGAGAUGGACCCGCGGCGCAUUAGCUAGUUGGUAGGGUAACGGCCUACCAAGGCGACGAUGCGUAGCCGACCUGAGAGGGUGAUCGGCCACAUUGGAACUGAGAGACGGUCCAGACUCUACGGGAGGCAGCAGUGGGGAAUAUUGCACAAUGGGCGAAAGCCUGAUGCAGCAACGCCGCGUGAGUGAAGAAGGUUUUCGGAUUGUAAAGCUCUGUCUUUGGGGACGAUAAUGACGGUACCCAAGGAGGAAGCCACGGCUAACUACGUGCCAGCAGCCGCGGUAAUACGUAGGUGGCGAGCGUUGUCCGGAAUUACUGGGCGUAAAGAGUGCGUAGGCGGAUAUUUAAGUGAGAUGUGAAAUACCCGGGCUUAACCCGGGCACUGCAUUUCAAACUGGAUAUCUAGAGUGCGGGAGAGGAGAAUGGAAUUCCUAGUGUAGCGGUGAAAUGCGUAGAGAUUAGGAAGAACACCAGUGGCGAAGGCGAUUCUCUGGACCGUAACUGACGCUGAGGCACGAAAGCGUGGGUAGCAAACAGGAUUAGAUACCCUGGUAGUCCACGCCGUAAACGAUGAGUACUAGGUGUAGGAGGUAUCGACCCCUUCUGUGCCGCAGUAAACACAAUAAGUACUCCGCCUGGGAAGUACGAUCGCAAGAUUAAAACUCAAAGGAAUUGACGGGGGCCCGCACAAGCAGCGGAGCAUGUGGUUUAAUUCGAAGCAACGCGAAGAACCUUACCUGGACUUGACAUACCCUGAAUAUCUUAGAGAUAAGAGAAGCCCUUCGGGGCAGGGAUACAGGUGGUGCAUGGUUGUCGUCAGCUCGUGUCGUGAGAUGUUAGGUUAAGUCCUGCAACGAGCGCAACCCCUGUUGUUAGUUGCUAACAUUUAGUUGAGCACUCUAGCAAGACUGCCGCGGUUAACGCGGAGGAAGGUGGGGAUGACGUCAAAUCAUCAUGCCCCUUAUGUCCUGGGCAACACACGUGCUACAAUGGGCAGUACAGAGAGAAGCAAGACCGCAAGGUGGAGCAAACCUCAAAAACUGCCCCCAGUUCGGAUUGCAGGCUGAAACUCGCCUACAUGAAGUUGGAGUUGCUAGUAAUCGCGAAUCAGAAUGUCGCGGUGAAUACGUUCCCGGGCCUUG